rfam:Zootermopsis nevadensis contig21926, whole genome shotgun sequence.
GCCACGGUGGUCUAGCGGUUAGAACGCUGGCCUUGUAAUCCUGGGGUCUCGGGUUUGAUUCCCGGCGGUGCCC